rnacentral:rRNA from 1 species
CACGUAGGCUGUAGUGUAAGUCGGGGGUGAAAUCCCACGGCUCAACCGUGGAACUGCCUUUGAUACUGCACAACUUGAAUCCGGGAGAGGGUGGCGGAAUUCCAGGUGUAGGAGUGAAAUCCGUAGAUAUCUGGAGGAACAUCAGUGGCGAAGGCGGCCACCUGGACCGGUAUUGACGCUGAGGUGCGAAAGCGUGGGGAGCAAACA